rnacentral:rRNA from 1 species
CUAAGCCAUGCGAGUCGAGAGGGUUCGGCCCUCGGCGGACUGCUCAGUAACACGUGGAUAAUUUGCCCUUAGGUGGAGGAUAAUCUCGGGAAACUGAGAAUAAUACUCCAUAGAUCUAGGAUGCUGGAAUGCACUUAGAUUGAAAGUUCCGGCGCCUAAGGAUAAGUCUGCGGACUAUCAGGUUGUAGUCAGGGUAAAGACCUGACUAGCCUACAACGGAUACGGGUUGUGAGAGCAAUAACCCGGAGACGAUAUCUGAGACACGAUAUCGGGCCCUACGGGGCGCAGCAGGCGCGAAACCUUCACACUGCGCGAAAGCGCGAUAAGGGGAUNCCCAGUGCCAGCUCGUAAGAGUUGGCUGUNUCUCUGUCUAAAAGCAGAGAGAGUAAGGGCUGGNGUAGACGGGUGCCAGCCGCCGCGGUAA